rfam:Agrilus planipennis Contig46271, whole genome shotgun sequence.
CCUCUUAAUUUGGCAUGCCUACACCUUGAAAUCAGUGUAGCAUGAGUGCUUUUGAGAGGUAAAUUACAGUUUGGGAAAUAUGCCUUCGGUGUCCACACAUAUAAAAGUCUGGAUCCCAUCCUCAACUUUCCCCACAUUU